AUCCAGCUGACGAAUCUAAAAUAGGACGAAACGCGCAUCCUGGAU
rfam:Schistosoma mansoni, Puerto Rico, WGS project CABG01000000 data, contig: 0071